rnacentral:rRNA from 1 species
AUACGUAGGGGGCAAGCGUUAUCCGGAUUUACUGGGUGUAAAGGGAGCGUAGACGGUUUGGCAAGUCUGAUGUGAAAGCCCGGGGCUCAACCGCGGGACUGCAUUGGAAACUGUCAGACUUGAGUGCAGGAGAGGUAAGUGGAAUUCCUAGUGUAGCGGUGAAAUGCGUAGAUAGUAGGAGGAACACCGGUGGCGAAGGCGGCUUACAGGACUGUAACGGACGUUGAGGCUCGAAAGCGGGGGGAGAAAACAGGAUUAGAUCCCCUGGUAGUCCACGCCGUAAACGAUGAAUACUAGGUGUGGGGAGACAAUAGUUGCUCGGUGCCGCAGCAAACGCAAUAAGUAUUCCACCUGGGGAGUACGGUCGCAAGAAUGAAACUCAAAGGAAUUGACGGGG